CAAAGGAGCAAUCCGCUGAAAGAUGGGCUCGCGUCCGAUUAGGUAGUUGGCGGGGCAACGGCCCACCAAGCCGACGAUCGGUAGCCGGACUGAGAGGUUGAACGGCCACAUUGGGACUGAGACACGGCCCAGACUCCUACGGGAGGCAGCAGUGAGGGAUAUUGGUCAAUGGGGGAGACCCUGAACCAGCAACGCCGCGUGAGGGAAGACGGUUUUCGGAUUGUAAACCUCUGUCCUCUGUGAAGAUGAUGACGGUAGCAGAGGAGGAAGCUCCGGCUAACUACGUGCCAGCAGCCGCGGUAAUACGUAGGGAGCAAGCGUUGUCCGGAUUUACUGGGUGUAAAGGGUGCGUAGGCGGCUUUGCAAGUCAGAAGUGAAAUCCAUGGGCUUAACCCAUGAACUGCUUUUGAAACUGCAGAGCUUGAGUGGAGUAGAGGUAGGCGGAAUUCCCGGUGUAGCGGUGAAAUGCGUAGAGAUCGGGAGGAACACCAGUGGCGAAGGCGGCCUGCUGGGCUCUAACUGACGCUGAGGCACGAAAGCGUGGGUAGCAAACAGGAUUAGAUACCCUGGUAGUCCACGCUGUAAACGAUGAUUACUAGGUGUGGGUGGACUGACCCCAUCC
rnacentral:rRNA from 1 species